CACAUGGAAAUCUCAUGGCUGAUUGAAAACCUACCAAAGGACACAAUAAAUAAUUAUUCUGUAGGAAAACUCAGCCAGCCAAGCCUGCCCCACCUCACAUGUCUGUCACUCUUGGACAAGGAACAAGAUAGAGAUUCUCAACUGGCUGAAGGAUACACAAGAUGUCUUAUUUGUGUGUCACUUGUUUGUGUUACUAAUGACUCCUGCUGACACCACCCUUGCUUCUUCAGGCAACAAAUGCUGUUUGCAGCACUUGUGAAACCCAUUUAUUUUAACAUGAAAUAAGCUUGUUCCUGACAGAUUGCAGCAAGAAAG
rnacentral:lncRNA from 1 species